GUGGGGAAUUUUGCGCAAUGGGGGAAACCCUGACGCAGCAACGCCGCGUGUGUGAUGAAGGUCUUCGGAUUGUAAAGCACUUUCGACCGGGACGAAACCGGCUUGGCCAAUAUCCAAGUCUCUGACUGUACCGGGAGAAGAAGCACCGGCUAACUCUGUGCCAGCAGCCGCGGUAAUACAGAGGGUGCAAGCGUUGUUCGGAAUUAUUGGGCGUAAAGCGCGUGUAGGCGGCUUUGCAAGUCUGGUGUGAAAUCCCUCGGCUCAACUGAGGAAGUGCGCCCGAAACUGCAGAGCUUGAGUACCGGAGAGGAUGGUGGAAUUCCCCAAGUAGAGGUGAAAUUUGUAGAUAUGGGGAGGAACACCGGUGGCGAAGGCGACCGUCUGGACGGAUACUGACGCUGAGACGCGAAAGCGUGGGGAGCAAACAGGAUUAGAUACCCUAGUAGUCC
rnacentral:rRNA from 1 species